GCCAGGUGCCGUGGCACAUGCCUGUAUUCUCAGCUACUCGGAAGGCUGAUGUGGGAGGAUCUCUCGAGCCCAGGAGUUCUGGGCUGCAGUGCACUAAGCCAAUUGGGUCUGCACUAAGUUUGGUAUCAAUAUGUUGACCUCCCAGGAGCGGGGGACCACCAGAUUGCCUAAGGAGGGAUGAACUGGCCCAGGUUGGAAACGGAGCAGGUCAAAACUCCUGUGCUGAUCAGUAGUGGGAUUGUGCCUGUGAAUAGCCACUGCACUCCAGCCUGGGCAACAUAGUGAGACCCCAUCUCU
rnacentral:SRP_RNA from 1 species